rnacentral:rRNA from 1 species
AUGCGCCACCUGGAGCUCGUCUUGCUUCCUCCCCAGUCAGAGGACCCCGGAAAGGCUCCAUGGAUCGGCGUCAUGCUCCGAUGCGGCCCCAGGCAAUCGGCGCUGCUCCGGAUAUGCGCAGACAACCUCUACAUCUCCGCUUACCGGAGCUCGGACGGUCUGUGGUCCGAGUUCCUCGGUGGCUCCCUAAUCGCCGGCGCGAAGCCACUCUCGUUCGCCGAUAGCUACGGCAACAUGGCGAGAGUGGCCAAGGCGGCACUCACCCUGGGCAAGGAGGAGCUCGAAGCCGCGGCGGAGCGCCUCACGGCCAGCGCCGGCACCCAGCAGGAGAUCGCAAGAUCGCUGAUGACCAUGUCGGUGAUGGUUAGCGAAGCCAUCAGGUUCAGGAGCGUCGGCGACGCGCUCGGGCACAUGAUGUGCAACGCCGCGCGGCGAGGGGUGCUGCCGGCGCACAUGGUGGAGCAGGUGAAGAACUGGAGGAGCCUGUCCGAGUACUGGCUCGGGGCCGUCCUCUACGCCCAGCCGUUCCUGCCGUACAUAGAGGCCGACGGUAGUCAGCACUAUGGCCACAUCCCCCAGCACCUGCUCGCGCCGGCGAAGAUCGACUGCCAGGACCACGCCAUGAUGGCGCUCGGCGUCGCGCUGAACCGGCAGAGGGGGCUGCAGGACAAGCACAAGGCGGCGCUCGACGAGCACUGGCGCGCCGUGAGAGCCCACGCCCGCAAGCUUGACAGGGAAAGAGCAUCUGCAUCCAGUACAUGA